ensembl:snRNA U2 U2 spliceosomal RNA
AUCACUUCUUGGCCUUUUGGCUAAGAUCAAGUGUAGUAUAAAUCUAUUUCUUACCAUGUUCUAAAAGAAAGCUUGAAAAAAUACUGAUCUAGUCCACCCACU